AUUGAACGCUGGCGGUAGGCCUAACACAUGCAAGUCGAGCGGAUGAAGGGAGCUUGCUCCUGGAUUCAGCGGCGGACGGGUGAGUAAUGCCUAGGAAUCUGCUUGGUAGUGGGGGAUAACGUCCGGAAACGGGCGCUAAUACCGCAUACGUCCUGAGGGAGAAAGUGGGGGAUCUUCGGACCUCACGCUAUCAGAUGAGCCUAGGUCGGAUUAGCUAGUUGGUGGGGUAAAGGCCUACCAAGGCGACGAUCCGUAACUGGUCUGAGAGGAUGAUCAGUCACACUGGAACUGAGACACGGUCCAGACUCCUACGGGAGGCAGCAGUGGGGAAUAUUGGACAAUGGGCGAAAGCCUGAUCCAGCCAUGCCGCGUGUGUGAAGAAGGUCUUCGGAUUGUAAAGCACUUUAAGUUGGGAGGAAGGGCAGUAAGUUAAUACCUUGCUGUUUUGACGUUACCAACAGAAUAAGCACCGGCUAACUUCGUG
rnacentral:rRNA from 1 species